UUUUUCUACUUCACGGGAACGACUCAUCAGUCUUCCGCACAAAGAAAUGCGCACUCUGACAGGUUAUGGGCCCAGAGAUAAAGAGAUAAGGCAGUCCAGAUCGACUGAUAAGAUGUUUCUGGAAGACGGACUACAGGACUUCGUUUGCCGUGAGUAGAGUGGAGAUUUUAGCCUGCUAUCUGCAGAAGAAGCUUUUCGCUGACUUCCUGAAAGUUCCCUUACUACUGACCAUGGCGUUAGUCAAUCCUGCUGCGGCCUUACCAAUUGAAAGGCUCUCCGGGACUAACUAUGCUUUUUGGAAAGUUAAGAUUGAAUCUUUCUUGAUACGCGAAAAUCUUUGGCAGUAUAUAGAGGCUCCUCCAACUCAGCCAGAUGAAGGUCAGAUAGCUGCUGACAGAAAGGCGAUGGCCACAAUUAAGCUUUCUCUGGAGAAUUCACAGCUGUGCCUAUUAAGAGGGCUGACUACAGCAAAGCAAUGCUGGGAUGCUUUGGCAGCAAUCUAUCAACGUCCAUCAACAGGAGUUUUGGUGAUGUUAUCCAGACGGCUCUACAGAGCGAGGCUGCAACGUGGAGAUUCGGUGNUUCCCCACAUCCACAAGAUGAAAGCAAUGUUCGCUGAACUUGCUGAAAGAGGUUUGGAUUUCCAAGACAACCANAAAGCAUUGAUUCUACUAUCCUCCCUAGAUGAAAGCUGGGAUUCAUUGGUGACCAGUCUUGAAGUGGUGCCAAGUAGAGAAUUUAGCUUCGAUUUUGUCAUUUCAAAGUUACUGGAUGCUCAACAGAAAAGGGAUUAUAAAGAAGAACAGCCGCGUACAACCAAGAAGGGGGAUGUUUCUGCAAUUGCUUCUACUUCAAAGACUGCUCCCAAGGUAAAGUGUUACAAAUGUCAAAAGUUUGGNCAUAUUGNNAAACAUUGUAGGAGUNNAUCNGUCNCCAANAGAAGUGCUGGCCAAGCGCAGCAANNGAACANAGUUAAUUGGAAAAGAGAUANCACUGAACAGGCUUUCCUGAUAACAACAGAAACUGAGACUAACAAGUUCAUAAUUGACUCUGGUUCCACUAGACAUAUUGUAAACAGAAAAGAACUUUUACANGACUUAAACACUUUUGAUGAAGCUGUAAAAGUUAGAAUGGCUGAUGGUAAUAUCGUACAAGUAACACAAGGAGGUAAACUUUAUCUUGAAAGUCUNAAAACAACUUUGCAAAAUGUUUUAUAUGUACCUGAAAUGAAAUAUUGUUUACUUAGCGUUUCCAAGCUAGUAAAAGAAAAUUUUGAUGUCAGAUUCAGAGAGGAUGAAUGCCUGAUAAUGAAAAAUGAUAAGGUUUGCACUAAAGCUUAUUUGAAAGAUGACAUAUACUGUCUAGAAAUGCCUGAACAAUGUGUUUGUACUGUAAAUACUAGUUUUAAUACUUGUUUACACAGUGAUAUUUGCUUCCAUAAUUGGCAUCGUAAGCUAGGCCAUNUCUCCUUCCAAACUUUGGCCAAAACAGUUAAAGCAUGUGACAUAAAGGUGCAACCUUGCAAAACAUUUCUUGAGUGCACUGUUUGCAGACAGACUAAUUUGAAAAGAUAUCCUUCCACUCGCAUCAGUGAAAGGAAAAGUUCUAGGCCUUUUGAGCUUGUACAUGCAGAUUUGCAAGGUCCAAAUGAAGUUUCCCUAGGGGGAUCUCGUUUUAUGUUAUUGCUGACAGAUGAUUUUUCAAGAUAUUCAUUUGUUUAUUUCUUGAAACACAAGUCNGAAGUUUUUGAAUAUUUUAAACAAUGGGUGAGAAUGAUUGAGAACAAACACAGCACAAAUGUUGNUGCAAUACAAACUGACAGAGGAGGUGAGUUUACGAGCAAAAAAUUCAAAAGCUGGCUUCUUAAGANAGGAAUUCAGCACAGGAUGACUAAUCCUUAUAGCCCAUUUGAAAAUGGUGUUGCUGAGAGGAGAAUUGGUUUAGUUAAAGCUAUGAGAGAAGCUAUGAUGCUUGAUGCUAACCUAUCUCCAAAGUAUUGGGCAGAAUGUUCAAGAAC
ensembl:lncRNA